rnacentral:rRNA from 1 species
UACGUAGGGGGCAAGCGUUGUCCGGAUUCAUUGGGCGUAAAGAGCUCGUAGGCGGCUUGGCAAGUCGGGUGUGAAAACUCCAGGCUCAACCUGGAGACGCCACCCGAUACUGCCAUGGCUUGAGUCCGGUAGGGGACCACGGAAUUCCUGGUGUAGCGGUGAAAUGCGCAGAUAUCAGGAGGAACACCGGUGGCGAAGGCGGUGGUCUGGGCAGUAACUGACGCUGAGGAGCGAAAGCGUGGGGAGCGAACAGG